UGUCGAUGAUGUGGACAGUUUCUAAAAAGUUCCUUGAACCGCUCCCAUGCCUGAUAGAGGUUCUUAUCUGGCCUUUGUUUAAAGCUCAUUAUCUCACUACGAAGUUU